CAACUUUCAGCAACGGAUCUCUUGGCUCUCGCAUCGAUGAANAACGCAGCGAAAUGCGAUAAGUAAUGUGAAUUGCAGAAUUCAGUGAAUCAUCGAAUCUUUGAACGCAUCUNGCGCUCCUUGGUAUUCCGAGGAGCAUGCCUGUUUGAGUGUCAUCA
rnacentral:rRNA from 1 species